AAGAAGCACCGGCUAACUACGUGCCAGCAGCCGCGGUAAUACGUAGGGUGCGAGCGUUGUCCGGAUUUACUGGGCGUAAAGAGCUCGUAGGUGGUUUGUCGCGUCGUCUGUGAAAUUCCGGGGUUUAACUCCGGGCGUGCAGGCGAUACGGGCAUAACUUGAGUGCUGUAGGGGUAACUGGAAUUCCUGGUGUAGCGGUGGAAUGCGCAGAUAUCAGGAGGAACACCGAUGGCGAAGGCAGGUUACUGGGCAGUUACUGACGCUGAGGAGCGAAAGCAUGGGUAGCGAACAGGAUUAGAUACCCUGGUAGUCCAUGCUGUAAACGGUGGGCGCUAGGUGUGAGCCUCUUCCACGGGGUUUGUGCCGUAGCUAACGCAUUAAGCGCCCCGCCUGGGGAGUACGGCCGCAAGGCUAAAACUCAAAGGAAUUGACGGGGGCCCGCACAAGCGGCGGAGCAUGUGGAUUAAUUCGAUGCAACGCGAAGAACCUUACCUGGGCUUGACAUACACCAGAUCGGCGCAGAGAUGCGUUUUCCCUUUGUGGUUGGUGUACAGGUGGUGCAUGGUUGUCGUCAGCUCGUGUCGUGAGAUGUUGGGUUAAGUCCCGCAACGAGCGCAACCCUUGUCUUAUGUUGCCAGCACGUGGUGGUGGGGACUCAUGAGAGACUGCCGGGGUUAACUCGGAGGAAGGUGGGGAUGACGUCAAAUCAUCAUGCCCCUUAUGUCCAGGGCUUCACACAUGCUACAAUGGUCGGUACAGUAGGUUGCGAUACCGUGAGGUGGAGCUAAUCCUUGUAAAGUCGGCCUUAGUUCGGAUUGGGGUCUGCAACUCGACCCCAUGAAGUCGGAGUCGCUAGUAAUCGCAGAUCAGCAACGCUGCGGUGAAUACGUUCCCGGGCCUUGUACACACCGCC
rnacentral:rRNA from 1 species